AGGAAGCACUACCAGUAGCUGAGACAUUAUGAGUGUCCAAAGUAACUGAUUGUCAUGACUGCAAGGAGACAUCAAAAUAUGUUCUGGCCACUCCUCUGAAUGUUCUGUACCUAUGGAAAAUGCUAAUCAUGGUGAAUGAGGCCUUUGCCAUCAGGAGAAAGUUCAAUGGUUGGUUCCUUCUUGUUGGGAUACCACUGACGGAUGCAGAGAAGGGAACUGAGAGCCAACGCCCUUCCUUCACCACUCAUGUGUAGACUCACUGGCACAACCAGAUGGAGAGGAACAGCUUCAGCUAUGUCUGUGAAAGUGUCCUCAUGCAUCAUCUCAAGUGGAGACCUUGAGCCAGCCUGCCCACUGGAGUCUCCAGAGCUCUAGAUUCCAGUUUACCUUCCUGUUGCUCCAAGCCUGCUCCUUUGAGUGGUUCAAUAGAGCUUACCGGAGAUGAUGCACAACACAGCAAAACACAACACAGCAAGACACAACGCAGGAGGUACUUCAACUUUGACUAUAGCAUCACUCAUCAUCAAAUCUUCAGGACAUAAUUCAAGGUUCCCUUGCUUUCUAAAAUCUUAAGUGUCAUUAAAUGUAUGUCCACAUCCAUUCAAAUCUGAAAAUUAAACUCUGAUUUGACCUCA